rnacentral:rRNA from 1 species
GAUGAACGCUGGCGGCGUGCUUAACACAUGCAAGUCGAACGAGAAUCAACGGAUUGAGGAUUCGUCCAAAUGAAGUUGAGGAAAGUGGCGGACGGGUGAGUAACGCGUGAGGAACCUGCCUCGGAGUGGGGAAUAACAGUUGGAAACAGCUGCUAAUACCGCAUGAUGCAACGGAAUCGCAUGACUCUGUUGCCAAAGAUUUAUCGCUCUGAGAUGGCCUCGCGUCUGAUUAGCUAGUUGGCGGGGUAACGGCCCACCAAGGCGACGAUCAGUAGCCGGACUGAGAGGUUGGCCGGCCACAUUGGGACUGAGACACGGCCCAG